CAGUAGCCGCGGUAAUACGUAGGGUGCAAGCGUUAAUCGGAAUUACUGGGAGUAAAGCGUGCGCAGGCGGUUAUAUAAGACAGAUGUGAAAUCCCCGGGCUCAACCUGGGAACUGCAUUUGUGACUGUAUAGCUAGAGUACGGCAGAGGGGGAUGGAAUUCCGCGUGUAGCAGUGAAAUGCGUAGAUAUGCGGAGGAACACCGAUGGCGAAGGCAAUCCCCUGGGCCUGUACUGACGCUCAUGCACGAAAGCGUGGGGAGCAAACAGGAUUAGAUACCCCUGUAGUCCCUGUCUCUUAUAC
rnacentral:rRNA from 1 species